rnacentral:lncRNA from 1 species
UUAGAGACUCACGUGAUGUUUAUCUUAGAUGAUGGUGUAUAACCGGCUUGGUUCAUUUAUUUGGAUGUAAUUAUAUAAAUAGGUGUGUAAUUCAACCGCUGCUGUUCUUCUGGUGUGUUUGACCUGGGUUUACUGGGUUAAGCUUAGGCUUGUUGUUUCUCGGUUUGACGCUGAAGUGGUCUGGGAGUCGGGGCCGAUGGUAUGGGUGAGCAUGGUUAGUCCUGAGCCGUGGCCUGCACGACACGUCAUUGCUCUCUGAUGGCUUAACUUUUAUUACGGUGAUUUGUCAUGUAUCGGGUCGGGAGAACCACUUUGUGUGAGCGAUUUUGGUUUGAAAUUUCCUCUGUUACCGUAUUAAUAACGUCAUUGUUGUGUACUCAAAACUCAUGUUUAGCACGGGAGAUUUGCAUACGGUUUAUGCGAUGUCUGUAAUUGCACAGGGGACUUUAUGUUGUGCUAAUUUUGGUUUGUUGCUGGUGUUAGAAGUAUAUAAA